AAAAUCAUGUUUGUUUUACCUUAGGAAACAACUUGAGUGUCUGGAAGACGAGGCUCUGUGGCGCGUUGUGUAACCGGCCCGGUGAAUCACGUUGCACAGACAAGCCCCGCAGGCUUUUACUGCAAUAAUAAUCUUGAUCUUCUUAUUCAAACACAAGUAACAACCGCAGCCGGCUCCAAGUCACGUGUCCAGGUCACAUGGCGCUCAGAGCAGAGGCCGACGGGCGAUCGUUAGCGACUGCUGACUCCCAGGGAGAAAAUCCUGGCUUUAAAGACACGAACUCAGUUUUUAUAAAACAACGAGGACUGCAAGAGAAGGCACUGGAAGUGAGGGUCCCCAAAAUGCCCAUGGCCAUUCCAAAGCCACCCAAAAGGAGAGAAAAUAUGGCCAAAUGGAAUUCAAGGUGGAAAGCGGCAGUGAUCUGAAGCAACUAAGCAUCUUACCAUUGCAGCGUUUGUAACAGACAGCCCUGCGUAGUGACUCCUAUUAUUACUCCUGCUCUACAGAUGAGAGAUGAAGUCUGAGAGAGAUUGUUUCUUGCCUAUACAUGGAGGGAGUGUUUCAAAGCUGGAGUUCAAAACCAGGUGUGCCUGCCUCCCCUCAGCUCCGCUGGUGCCUUCGUGGCACAAAGCUGACCUUGAACCUUGGGUGAAUCGAAUGCAGCCCAGGCCUUCUGAUCCUUUCUGUACUGGAGCUGACUUUAUUUGCAACCUUAUCUGGUUAUAGCUCCUAGAUCUUUAGUUCUGUUCCUGCAGACCAUGAUCUCAUUGCCUGCUAAAAUCAUUAGGGAUUGCAGCCGACAGGAUUCCCUGACCAGUUUUAAAGUUCCACUCCUCCCCAUUGGAUGGUAAUGAUAUUUCCUGCCUUUCUCUGCCCGUGCCCCCUUGCCCUGACUAAUGCCAUACUUCACUCUGGGCACACCACCCCACUGACUGCCUCUAGAACAGGCCCUAUGCUUUUGCCUCACGCACAGCAGAAAGACUCACCUUGCUGAAUCACUCCCUUAGCUUGUCAGGACAGUAUUUUGAUUCUGGAAAGGCUUAUGAGCGUGCUGUUUGUGGGAGGAAAGGAGGCUGUCAGUUCAGGCAAUCUGCAAAUGUGCUAAUUAGCUGGAUGGAAGAAGCCCGAGUGCAAGCAGCGGCCUCUCCCCUCCCGGAAGAGCUAACCCGUCCAAUACAGUUUCCUGCCUAAUGUCGCCAUGCUCUGCCCUGGGCCGGGCUGUGGACAGAGGCUAAUGAGCGUUACUGAUUUUUUUUGCUUAGAGUUUUUCAACCUCAACGCUACUGACAUUUUGGGCCAGACUGAGAGGUAAGUGAGAGAGCUUCCUGGGCAUCAUAGGGUGUUUAGCAGCCUCCCUGGCUGCUACUCAGCUCCUCUCCCCACUCCCACCUAAGUUGUGAUGAUCAAAAACAGCUUCAGACAUUGCCAGAUGUCCCCUGGGGGUCCAAGUUGCCCCUGAUUGAGAGCCACUGCUUGAGCUCUGUUGACAGACUUUGUCACCAUCGGCAUCCAGUUCUGUAGAUUCUUGAAGCACAGAGGCGGGGGGCGGGGGGAGGUAGUGUGGGUUUUGACAUGCUGAUAGGAGGCCGAUGCAGGAGUGGGAGAGUUGCACACUGCACACAGAGCUAAUCCUCUUGGAUGAGAGUAUUGUGAGGAAAAAGGUAAUAAUACCUGUGAGUAGAGAUGCAUUCUCAUUUCCCCAUGGUCAGAGUGAAUCUGAGACAAGUGGUUGCCUGAAAACUUCAGCUUAUGGUUGAGGGUUCUCUGGUCAGAGAUUGGGUUGGAAUCCCUGCUCCCUAAUUAGUCUUGUGACCUUGGACAAGUUACUUUAUCUAUGCCUCAGUUUCCCUAUUGUAAUAUGUAACAAUAAUAUCUAUAUAGUAGAGGUGUUUUAAGAAUUAUGACCAGUAGUUCAUGCCUAUAAUCCCAGCACUUUGGGAGGCUGAGGUGAGCGGACUGAG